rnacentral:rRNA from 1 species
UACAGAGGUCUCAAGCGUUGUUCGGAUUCAUUGGGCGUAAAGGGUGCGUAGGUGGCGAGGCAAGUCGGGUGUGAAACCUCCAGGCUCAACCUGGAGUCGCCACUCGAAACUGUUGUGACUUGAGUCCGGUAGGGGAGCAUGGAAUUCCUGGUGUAGCGGUGGAAUGCGCAGAUAUCAGGAGGAACACCAGUGGCGAAGGCGAUGCUCUGGGCCGGUACUGACGCUGAGGAGCGAAAGCAUGGGGAGCGAACAGG